UACGUAGGUCCCGAGCGUUGUCCGGAUUUAUUGGACGUAAAGCGAGCGCAGGUGGUUUAUUAAGUCUGGUGUAAAAGGCAGUGGCUCAACCAUUGUAUGCAUUGGAAACUGGUAGACUUGAGUGCAGGGGAGGAGAGUGGAAUUCCAUGUGUAGCGGUGAAAUGCGUAGAUAUAUGGAGGAACACCGGUGGCGAAAGCGGCUCUCUGGCCUGUAACUGACACUGAGGCUCGAAAGCGUGGGGAGCAAACAGG
rnacentral:rRNA from 1 species